rnacentral:lncRNA from 1 species
AUCCCCAGUAAGAGGGAACAGAGUGGCACCCACAAAUACGGAAUGAAGACAUUUGGAGAAGAAGCGUUUACUGAAAGGAGAUUCCUGGGCUGGAGGAAAACCAUGAUCUACAGUUCAUGUUGACAGAUAUUGUAUUUUUGGUCCUAGAUCUGACUUUUGAAAUGACUUAUCACAAAUUCAAAUUUAGCAAUCAUGAGUGAAGUACCCACGAUGUGCUAAGCAUCUACCUCUGCAGAUAGAAGAACACUUACUGUUCCUGAGCAUGGGAGGGAAUAGAAGUUCCUGGGUCCUGGCCUCACCUCAUCAGGCACUGCCAAAUUUGACACCUCCUUCCUGUUCACGGCAGUCCUUUGCGAUAGGGUAUUAGAUGCCACCAAGUAGCUGCAUAACUCACCCAUUUGGUCAGAGCCUGGGUCUAAGCCAGGUCUGACAGACUCCAAAGCAAGCCCUGUUUACAGCAUGACUGGGAUCCAGUGGACGAGGGAACUGAGCUGUCAAAACUAAGUGACUUGAUUGAGGCCAUGCAGCUGGCGAGGGGAGGACCAGGAUCUGAACCCAACUGGGUCUCCCAAGCCUGGGCCACUGAACCAUUUCACCUCUUGGAAAAACUUAAUGGUCAGAGUGGCCCACCCAGUCCAUGGACAGCAUGGAGGAUAAACUGCUUCCCUAGAAAUCCUCUCCAGCAUUCUUGCCACCACGACUUUGGGACACAUUGACCAUGAGGAGGAGCUGGUCAAUGAUGGACAGGAGUCCAGAUUAGCAGAGAUGUGGUAAUAAGGACACCGAUGCCUAAAUACUUGAAAUAUCCAAUAGGAAGCAUUCCACCUUUGUGCAAAUGCGAACCACAUCUCACCAAGUUCAGGCCAAGGCUGCCACCGGUGACGUUUUGGAAAAGAAAAAAAAAAGCGGGGGGAGAGGAGAGAAACAGAGAAGCAAGGAAUGCAGAAGAGAGCAGAGGCCACAAAAACAGCAGCAACGUGUCCUGUGUAUUCUGUUUCCUUGUAAAACUAUGAAGCAUGUUAAGGAGAUACUUCAUUUUUUGAGGAUUCAUACUCUUGUUUAUAUUAUAAUAAAAACAACCCAUGUUCUUUCUAAAAAUUUAGGCAAUGCCUUCGUGCACAUAAAAGUAAAACAAAA